rnacentral:rRNA from 1 species
CCUACGGGUGGCAGCAGUGAGGAAUAUUGGUCAAUGGGCGCGAGCCUGAACCAGCCAAGUAGCGUGAAGGAUGACUGCCCUCCGGGUUGUAAACAUCUUUUAUAAAGGAAUAAAGUGAGGCACGUGUGCCUUUUUGUAUGUACUUUAUGAAUAAGGAUCGGCUAACUCCGUUCCAUCAGCCGCGGUAAUACGGAGGAUCCGAGCGUUAUCCGGAUUUAUUGGGCUUAAAGUGAGCGUAGAUGGGUGGUUAAGUCAGUUGUGAAAGUUUGCGGCUCAACCUGAAAAUUGCAAUUGAUACUGGCAGUCUUGAGUACAGUUGAGGGAGGCAGAAUUCGAGGUGUAGCGGUGAAAUGCUUAGAUAUCACGAAGAACUCCGAUUGCGAAGGCAGCUUCCUAAACUGCCACUGACAUUGAUGCUCGAAAGUGUGGGUAUCAAACAGGAUUAGAUACCCUUGUAGUC